rnacentral:rRNA from 1 species
UGGGGAAUAUUGGGCAAUGGGCGAAAGCCUGACCCAGCAACGCCGCGUGAAGGAAGAAGGUUUUCGGAUUGUAAACUUCUUUUAUCAGGGACGAAGAAAGUGACGGUACCUGAUGAAUAAGCCACGGCUAACUACGUGCCAGCAGCCGCGGUAAUACGUAGGGGGCAAGCGUUAUCCGGAUUUACUGGGUGUAAAGGGAGCGCAGGCGGUCCUGCAAGUCUGAUGUGAAAGCCCGGGGCUCAACCCCGGGACUGCAUUGGAAACUGUGGGACUUGGGUGUCGGAGGGGCAAGUGGAAUUCCUAGUGUAGCGGUGAAAUGCGUAGAUAUUAGGAGGAACACCAGUGGCGAAGGCGGCUUGCUGGACGACAACUGACGCUGAGGCUCGAAAGCGUGGGGAGCAAACAGGAUUAGAUACCCUGGUAGU